rnacentral:rRNA from 1 species
GCGGCUAUACAUGCAGUCGAGCGAACAGAAGGGAGCUUGCUCCCGGAUGUUAGCGGCGGACGGGUGAGUAACACGUGGGUAACCUGCCUGUAAGACUGGGAUAACUCCGGGAAACCGGAGCUAAUACCGGAUAGUUCCUUGAACCGCAUGGUUCAAGGAUGAAAGACGGUUUCGGCUGUCACUUACAGAUGGACCCGCGGCGCAUUAGCUAGUUGGUGGGGUAAUGGCUCACCAAGGCGACGAUGCGUAGCCGACCUGAGAGGGUGAUCGGCCACACUGGGACUGAGACACGGCCCAGACUCCUACGGGAGGCAGCAGUAGGGAAUCUUCCGCAAUGGACGAAAGUCUGACGGAGCAACGCCGCGUGAGUGAUGAAGGUUUUCGGAUCGUAAAGCUCUGUUGUUAGGGAAGAACAAGUGCGAGAGUAACUGCUCGCACCUUGACGGUACCUAACCAGAAAGCCACGGCUAACUACGUGCCAGCAGCCGCGGUAAUACGUAGGUGGCAAGCGUUGUCCGGAAUUAUUGGGCGUAAAGGGCUCGCAGGCGGUUUCUUAAGUCUGAUGUGAAAGCCCCCGGCUCAACCGGGGAGGGUCAUUGGAAACUGGGAAACUUGAGUGCAGAAGAGGAGAGUGGAAUUCCACGUGUAGCGGUGAAAUGCGUAGAGAUGUGGAGGAACACCAGUGGCGAAGGCGACUCUCUGGUCUGUAACUGACGCUGAGGAGCGAAAGCGUGGGGAGCGAACAGGAUUAGAUACCCUGGUAGUCCACGCCGUAAACGAUGAGUGCUAAGUGUUAGGGGGUUUCCGCCCCUUAGUGCUGCAGCUAACGCAUUAAGCACUCCGCCUGGGGAGUACGGUCGCAAGACUGAAACUCAAAGGAAUUGACGGGGGCCCGCACAAGCGGUGGAGCAUGUGGUUUAAUUCGAAGCAACGCGAAGAACCUUACCAGGUCUUGACAUCCUCUGACAACCCUAGAGAUAGGGCUUUCCCUUCGGGGACAGAGUGACAGGUGGUGCAUGGUUGUCGUCAGCUCGUGUCGUGAGAUGUUGGGUUAAGUCCCGCAACGAGCGCAACCCUUGAUCUUAGUUGCCAGCAUUCAGUUGGGCACUCUAAGGUGACUGCCGGUGACAAACCGGAGGAAGGUGGGGAUGACGUCAAAUCAUCAUGCCCCUUAUGACCUGGGCUACACACGUGCUACAAUGGACAGAACAAAGGGCUGCAAGACCGCAAGGUUUAGCCAAUCCCAUAAAUCUGUUCUCAGUUCGGAUCGCAGUCUGCAACUCGACUGCGUGAAGCUGGAAUCGCUAGUAAUCGCGGAUCAGCAUGC